rnacentral:rRNA from 1 species
UACGGAGGGGGCUAGCGUUGUUCGGAUUUACUGGGCGUAAAGGGCGCGUAGGCGGCCACCGCAAGUCGACUGUGAAAUCUCCGGGCUUAACCCGGAGAGGUCAGCCGAUACUGCGGGGCUAGAGUGCAGAAGGGGCAACUGGAAUUCUCGGUGUAGCGGUGAAAUGCGUAGAUAUCGAGAGGAACACCUGCGGCGAAGGCGGGUUGCUGGGCUGACACUGACGCUGAGGCGCGAAAGCUAGGGGAGCGAACGGG